rnacentral:rRNA from 1 species
AGAGUUUGAUCAUGGCUCAGGACGAACGCUGGCGGCGUGCUUAACACAUGCAAGUCGAACGGAAAGGCCCUUCGGGGUGCUCGAGUGGCGAACGGGUGAGUAACACGUGGGUGAUCUGCCCUGCACUUUGGGAUAAGCCUGGGAAACUGGGUCUAAUACCGAAUAGGACUGCGCUCUUCAUGGGGUGUGGUGGAAAGCUUUUGCGGUGUGGGAUGGGCCCGCGGCCUAUCAGCUUGUUGGUGGGGUAAUGGCCUACCAAGGCGACGACGGGUAGCCGGCCUGAGAGGGUGACCGGCCACACUGGGACUGAGAUACGGCCCAGACUCCUACGGGAGGCAGCAGUGGGGAAUAUUGCACAAUGGGCGCAAGCCUGAUGCAGCGACGCCGCGUGAGGGAUGACGGCCUUCGGGUUGUAAACCUCUUUCAGCACAGACGAAGCGCGAGUGACGGUAUGUGCAGAAGAAGGACCGGCCAACUACGUGCCAGCAGCCGCGGUAAUACGUAGGGUCCGAGCGUUGUCCGGAAUUACUGGGCGUAAAGAGCUCGUAGGUGGUUUGUCGCGUUGUUCGUGAAAACUCACAGCUUAACUGUGGGCGUGCGGGCGAUACGGGCAGACUUGAGUACUGCAGGGGAGACUGGAAUUCCUGGUGUAGCGGUGGAAUGCGCAGAUAUCAGGAGGAACACCGGUGGCGAAGGCGGGUCUCUGGGCAGUAACUGACGCUGAGGAGCGAAAGCGUGGGGAGCGAAUGGGAUUAGAUACCCCGGUAGUCC